UACAAUGCUGGCAACAGCGAUAAGGGAACCUCGAGUGCCAGGUUACAAAUCUGGCUGUCGAGAUGCCUAAAAAGCAUUUCAUAGCAAGGGCCGGGCAAGACCGGUGCCAGCCGCCGCGGUAACACCGGCGGCUCGAGUGGUAACCGUUAUUAUUGGGUCUAAAGGGUCUGUAGCCGGCCGGAUAAGUCUCUUGAGAAAUCUGGCAGCUUAACUGUCAGGCUUUCAGGAGAUACUGUCUGGCUCGAGGCCGGGAGAGGUGAGAGGUACUUCAGGGGUAGGGGUGAAAUCUUGUAAUCCUUGAAGGACCACCAGUGGCGAAGGCGUCUCACCAGAACGGACCUGACGGCAAGGGACGAAAGCUAGGGGCACGAACCGGAUUAGAUACCCGGGUAGUCCUAGCCGUAAACGAUACUCGCUAGGUGUCGGCCACGGUGCGACCGUUGUCGGUGCCGUAGGGAAGCCGUGAAGCGAGCCA
rnacentral:rRNA from 1 species